UGCAGUCGAGGGGCAGCAUGACCUAGCAAUAGGUUGAUGGCGACCGGCGCACGGGUGAGUAACACGUAUCCAACCUACCGGUUAUUCCGGGAUAGCCUUUCGAAAGAAAGAUUAAUACCGGAUAGUAUAACGAGAAGGCAUCUUUUUGUUAUUAAAGAAUUUCGAUAACCGAUGGGGAUGCGUUCCAUUAGUUUGUUGGCGGGGUAACGGCCCACCAAGACAUCGAUGGAUAGGGGUUCUGAGAGGAAGGUCCCCCACAUUGGAACUGAGACACGGUCCAAACUCCUACGGGAGGCAGCAGUGAGGAAUAUUGGUCAAUGGACGAGAGUCUGAACCAGCCAAGUAGCGUGAAGGAUGACUGCCCUAUGGGUUGUAAACUUCUUUUAUAUGGGAAUAAAGUGAGCCACGUGUGGCUUUUUGUAUGUACCAUACGAAUAAGGAUCGGCUAACUCCGUGCCAGCAGCCGCGGUAAUACGGAGGAUCCGAGCGUUAUCCGGAUUUAUUGGGUUUAAAGGGAGCGUAGGCGGACUAUUAAGUCAGCUGUGAAAGUUUGCGGCUCAACCGUAAAAUUGCAGUUGAUACUGGUCGUCUUGAGUGCAGUAGAGGUAGGCGGAAUUCGUGGUGUAGCGGUGAAAUGCUUAGAUAUCACGAAGAACUCCGAUUGCGAAGGCAGCUUACUGGACUG
rnacentral:rRNA from 1 species